rnacentral:rRNA from 1 species
UACGUAGGGCGCGAGCGUUGUCCGGAAUUAUUGGGCGUAAAGAGCUCGUAGGUGGCUUGUCGCGUCUGCCGUGAAAGGCCUGGGCUUAACUCGGGUUUUGCGGUGGAUACGGGCUGGCUGGAGGUAGGUAGGGGAGAACGGAAUUCCUGGUGUAGCGGUGAAAUGCGCAGAUAUCAGGAGGAACACCGGUGGCGAAGGCGGUUCUCUGGGCCUUACCUGACGCUGAGGAGCGAAAGCGUGGGGAGCGAACAGGAUUAGAAACCCCCGUAGUCC